CUACUACUCCCUCCAUUACAAAAUUCUUGUCUUAGAUUCGUCUAGAUACAAAUUAUCUAAUACUAAAACGUGACUUGAUACAUCCGUAUUUAAACAAAUCUAAGACAAGAAUUUUGGGACGGAUGGAGUAUGUC
rfam:Triticum aestivum genome assembly, contig: Triticum_aestivum_CS42_TGACv1_scaffold_423266_5BS